rnacentral:misc_RNA from 1 species
UUUCACAUGGCAUCAUAGCCCUAAAAUCAUAAGGAAAAUAAGUCUAGUCCAUCACCUCCUCCUCCCACUACCGAAACUCCCUUUUCUUCCUCCUCUACUCUUCUUGCUUCUUCUUCAGCUUGUCUUCCCUCUCUAUUCUUUCAUUGCCCAAUGCUUCUCCGUCAGUUUUUAAUUUUAAUAACAUUAAAAAACAAAUUCCUACUAUUCUUG